UCACGAUUGCGAGCCACGCUUCACGCAACCGUGUUUGCAUACUUGUGUUUCGAGUUGCGUGGUCGUGCGGAGUUAUAUUUACCAAAUUUAAAUAUAAUCGUUUCUAUUACCAUGCUGUCAAAAUUAAAUCAAUAUGGCUACUAAUCUUAUUCUAUCUGUUCUUCAUGAGUUUUAGAUAAUUUUAGUUGUAUUUCUUUGUAAUUUUGUGUUGUACAAAGAUUAAUUUAACAUUUUCUCUGGAAGUAUUAAUUUAGAAAGAUAAUAUGCUUCAUUGGUGUUGUGUUUUGAAGUGUGAAAUGCAAAGUAAUUGUGAUAAAGUCAAGAUAUUCACUUUUAAACUGAACUAAAUAAGGUAUCAUCUGAGAGACAACAAUGGUUAAAUGCAAUACAAUGUACAGGUUUUACUAGCGAAAUGAAAAUUUUCCUGUCCUGUCUGCUGUAAUCAUUUUAUAUAUGGAAAACCAGCCGACUUAAUCGAUAAUAACAAUCUCCAGAUUGGGUUCCUUCAAUAAAUAUGGGCUAUAAACACAAUGGAAUAAGUUCCCCAAAAUCUAAAAUGGAGUGGUAUCAAAGGAGAAUUAAAGGAAAAAAUAUUCAUAUUGAAAUUAUUUAUAAGGCACUGGACUGUCUUAAAUUCUACAAUAAUACUAGAAUCAGCUGAGAGAAGUGGUCUACAAAAAACCAGGAAGGAAACGGAAUAUGUGGCUACGAAAGGCAAAAGAAAGGUUUACAAAGCAAAUGUGACACAUUUUUUUGAAAUAUUUAGGAAUAUCAGUAAAUUGCAUUAAAAAAAUGUAUGAAAAGAUUUUGUUCAAUAAAAAUGUUUAUAUUUA